rnacentral:rRNA from 1 species
UACGUAGGGUGCAAGCGUUGUCCGGAAUCAUUGGGCGUAAAGAGCGUGUAGGCGGUUCGGUAAGUCGGCUGUGAAAGUCCAGGGCUCAACCCUGGGAUGCCGGUCGAUACUGCCGGACUAGAGUUCGGAAGAGGCGAGUGGAAUUCCCGGUGUAGCGGUGAAAUGCGCAGAUAUCGGGAGGAACACCUAUGGCGAAGGCAGCUCGCUGGGACGUUACUGACGCUGAGACGCGAAAGCGUGGGGAGCAAACAGG